rnacentral:misc_RNA from 1 species
UGGUUCUGGCAUCGAUGAAGAACGCAGCGAAAUGCGAUAAGUAAUGUGAAUUGCAGAAUUCAGUGAAUCAUCGAAUCUUUGAACGCACAUUGCGCCCAUCAGUAUUCUGGUGGGCAUGCCUGUUCGAGCGUCAUUUCAACCCUUAAGCCUAGCUUAGUGUUGGGAAUCUACAUCUGGGGUCACACUUGUGUGAUUACCCUGUAGUUCCCGAAAAUCAACGGCGGAUUUGUAGUAUCCUCUGAGCGUAGUAAUUCUUUAUCUCGCUUUUGUCUAGGUACUAUAACUCUUGCCGUUAAACCCCCAAUUUUUAAUGGUUGACCUCGGAUCAGGUAGGAAUACCCGCUGA